rnacentral:rRNA from 1 species
CAUUGGUCAAUGGACGAGGGUCUGAACCAGCCAAGUAGCGUGAAGGAUGACUGCCCUAUGGGUUGUAAACUUCUUUUAUAUGGGAAUAAAACAGGGUAUGCAUACCCUCUUGUAUGUACCAUAUGAUUAAGGAUCGGCUAACUCCGCGCAAGCAGCCGCGGUAAUACGAAGGAUCCGAGCGUUAUCCGGAUUUAUUGGGUUUAAAGGGAGCGUAGGUGGACAGUUAAGUCAGUUGUGAAAGUUUGCGGCUCAACCGUAAAAUUGCAGUUGAUACUGGCUGUCUUGAGUACAGUAGAGGUGGGCGGAAUUCGUGGUGUAGCGGUGAAAUGCUUAGAUAUCACGAAGAACUCCGAUUGCGAAGGCAGCUCACUGGACUGUUGACUGACACUGAGGCUCGAAAGUGUGGGUAUCAAAC